rnacentral:rRNA from 1 species
AACGAACGCUGGCGGCAUGCCUAACACAUGCAAGUCGAACGAGACCUUCGGGUCUAGUGGCGCACGGGUGCGUAACGCGUGGGAACCUGCCCUUAGGUUCGGAAUAACUCCCCGAAAGGGGUGCUAAUACCGGAUAAUGUCUUCGGACCAAAGAUUUAUCGCCUUUGGAUGGGCCCGCGUUGGAUUAGCUAGUUGGUAGGGUAAAAGCCUACCAAGGCGACGAUCCAUAGCUGGUCUGAGAGGAUGAUCAGCCACACUGGGACUGAGACACGGCCCAGACUCCUACGCGAGGGUGCAGUUGGUAGCAUUGGACAAUGGGCGAUAGCCUGACCCAGCAAUGCCGCGUGAGUGAUGCAGGCCUUAGGGUUGUACAGCUCUUUUACCCGAGAUGAUAAUGACAGUACCGGGAGAAUAAGCUCCGGCUAACUACGUG